CCUACGGGAGACUGCAGUCGAGAAUCAUUCACAAUGGGGGAAACCCUGAUGGUGCGACGCCGCGUGGGGGAAUGAAGGUCUUCGGAUUGUAAACACCUGUCAUGUGGGAGCAAAUUAAAAAGAUAGUACCACAAGAGGAAGAGACGGCUAACUCUGUGCCAGCAGCCGGGGUAAUCCAGGGGUCUCAAGCGUUGUUCGGAAUCACUGGGCGUAAAGCGUGGGAAGGUUGUUUGGUAGGUCGUGUGUGAAAGGCGCGGGCUCAACCGGCGGACGGCACGUGAUACUGCGAUGCUAGAGUAAUGAAGGGGGAACAGGAAUUCUCGGUGUAGCAGUGAAAUGCGUAGAUAUCGAGAGGAACACUCGUGGCGAAGGCGGGUUCCUGGACAUUAACUGACGCUGAGGCACGAAGGCCAGGGGAGCGAAAGGGAUUAGAUACCCGGGUAGUC
rnacentral:rRNA from 1 species